rnacentral:SRP_RNA from 1 species
GCCAGGUGCGGUGGCAGGCACCUGUAAUCCCAGCUACUCGGAGGCUGAGGCAGGAGAAUUGCUUGAACCCGGGCAGCAGAGGUUGCAGUGAGCCAAGAUCAUGCCACUGCACUCCAGCCUGGGUAACACAGUGAGAUUCUGUCUCAA